rnacentral:misc_RNA from 1 species
GAUUAUUGCAUUGAACUGACAAAUUGGAAAGUUGUUCCAGUUGGUUCACUAGUUCAAGAUUCAAUCACUAAUGACGCGGCGGACGAUGACAUGGAGUUAAUAGAUUGGCUAGGAACAAAAGAUGAGAAUUCAACUGUUUUCGUCUCCUUUGGGAGUGAGUAUUUCUUGUCAAAAGAAGAUGUGGAAGAAGUAGCUUUCGGGUUGGAGUUAAGUAAUGUUAAUUUCAUAUGGGUUGUAAGAUUUCCGAAAGGUGAAGAGAAAAAUCUUGAAGAUGUAUUACCAAAAGGUUUUUUUGAAAGAAUUGGAGAGAGGGGAAGAGUUUUGGACAAAUUUGCACCACA